rnacentral:rRNA from 1 species
UACGGGGGGAGCAAGCGUUGUUCGGAAUUACUGGGCGUAAAGCGCACGUAGGCGGCUUUGUAAGUUAGAGGUGAAAGCCCAGGGCUUAACCCUGGAAUUGCCUUUAAGACUGCAUCGCUAGAAUCGUGGAGAGGUGAGUGGAAUUCCGAGUGUAGAGGUGAAAUUCGUAGAUAUUCGGAAGAACACCAGUGGCGAAGGCGACUCACUGGACACGUAUUGACGCUGAGGUGCGAAAGCGUGGGGAGCAAACAGG